rnacentral:misc_RNA from 1 species
UCCGUGUUAACCACGGCAGUCUCUCUAGAGAGCCCAACUGAAUGCUGGCAACUAAAGAUAAGGGUUGCGCUCGUUGCGGGACUUAACCCAACAUGUCACCACACGAGCUGACGACAGCCAUGCAGCACCUGUCACUCGGCAGUAUUGCUACUGAGACCGUAUCUCUACGGCUGUCCGAGGAUGUCAAACCCAGGUAAGGUUUUUCGCGUUGCUUCGAAUUAAACCACAUGAUCCACCGCUUGUGCGGGCCCCCGUCAAUUCCUUUGAGUUUUAGUCUUGCGACCGUACUUCCCAGGCGGGGUACUUAUUGCGUUAGCUCCGGCUCUGUAGGGGUCAAAUCCCACAAAGCCUAGUACCCAUCGUUUACAGCGUGGACUAC